UCAUUUUAGUAUGGCAAUGCACAUACUAAAAUUGCCAUGAUAUAUCAAAGAUUAACAUGACCCUUGUGCAAGGAUGACAUGCAAAUUCAUGAAGUGCUCCACAUAUUU
ensembl:snRNA U6 U6 spliceosomal RNA